rnacentral:rRNA from 1 species
UAAGGAAUAUUGGUCAAUGGACGCAAGUCUGAACCAGCCAUGCCGCGUGAAGGAUGAAGGUCCUCUGGAUUGUAAACUUCUUUUAUCUGGGACGAAAACGGGAUUUUUAUCUCAAUUGACGGUACCAGAGGAAUAAGCACCGGCUAACUCCGUGCCAGCAGCCGCGGUAAUACGGAGGGUGCGAGCGUUAUCCGGAUUUACUGGGUUUAAAGGGUGCGUAGGUGGGCUUAUAAGUCAGUGGUGAAAUCUCCGAGCUUAACUUGGAAACUGCCGUUGAUACUAUAGGUCUUGAAUUAUCUGGAGGUAAGCGGAAUAUGUCAUGUAGCGGUGAAAUGCUUAGAUAUGAAAUAGAACACCAAUUGCGAAGGCAGCUUACUACAUAUAAAUUGACGCUGAGGCACGAAAGCGUGGGGAUCAAACA